AUACGGAGGAUGCGAGCGUUAUCCGGAUUUAUUGGGUUUAAAGGGAGCGUAGGCGGGAGCUUAAGUCAGCGGUUAAAUGGUGCGGCUCAACCGUGCCCUGCCGUUGAAACUGGGUUUCUUGAGAGUGCAAGAGGCGGAUGGAAUUCAUGGUGUAGCGGCGAAAUGCUUAGAUAUCAUGAAUAACUCCGAUUGCGAAGGCAGUCCGCUGGGGCACGUCUGACGCUGUUGCUCGAAGGUGCGGGAAUCAAACAGGAUUAGAUACCUUGGUAGUCCGCACGGUAAACGAUGAUUACCCGCUGUCGGCGGCAGACAGUCGGCGGCCAAGCGAAAGCGAUAAGUAAUCCACCUGGGGAGUACGCCGGCAACGGUGAAACUUAAAGGAAUUGACGGGG
rnacentral:rRNA from 1 species